CACAAGCGGUGGAGCAUGUGGUUUAAUUCGAUGCAACGCGAAGAACCUUACCUGGUCUUGACAUCCACGGAAGUUUUCAGAGAUGAGAAUGUGCCUUCGGGAACCGUGAGACAGGUGCUGCAUGGCUGUCGUCAGCUCGUGUUGUGAAAUGUUGGGUUAAGUCCCGCAACGAGCGCAACCCUUAUCCUUUGUUGCCAGCGGUCCGGCCGGGAACUCAAAGGAGACUGCCAGUGAUAAACUGGAGGAAGGUGGGAUGACGUCAAGUCAUCAUGGCCCUUACGACCAGGGCUACACACGUGCUACAAUGGCGCAUACAAAGAGAAGCGACCUCGCGAGAGCAAGCGGACCUCAUAAAGUGCGUCGUAGUCCGGAUUGGAGUCUGCAACUCGACUCCAUGAAGUCGGAAUCGCUAGUAAUCGUGGAUCAGAAUGCCACGGUGAAUACGUUCCCGGGCCUU
rnacentral:rRNA from 1 species